rnacentral:rRNA from 1 species
CACGGAGUUAGCCGGUGCUUAUUCCUCAGGUACCGUCAGUGUACCACGCAUGGUCUUUUUCUUCCCUGAGAAAAGCCGUUUACAACCCAGAAGGCCUUCAUCCGGCACGCGGCAUGGCUGGGUCAGGCUCUCGCCCAUUGCCCAAUAUUCCCUACUGCUGCCUCCCGUAGGAGUCUGGCCCGUAUCUCAGUGCCAGUGUGGGGGAUCACCCUCUCAGGUCCCCUAAGCAUCGUCGCCAUGGUGGGCCGUUACCCCGCCAUCUAGCUAAUGCUACGCAACCCCAUCCACUACCAAUAAAUCUUUCCCAAUUGCCUGAUGCCAGGCUGCUGGUAUAUGCGGUAUUAAUCCGCCUUUCGGCGGGCUAUCCCCCAGUAGUGGGUAGGUUGGUUACGCGUUACGCACCCGUGCGCCACUAGCGGUAUUGCUACCGCCCGUUCGACUUGCAUGUAUUAGGCCUGCCGCUAGCGUUCAUCCUGAGCCAGGAUCAAACUCU